rnacentral:rRNA from 1 species
CCUACGGGUGGCAGCAGUGAGGAAUAUUGGUCAAUGGACGAGAGUCUGAACCAGCCAAGUAGCGUGAAGGAUGACUGCCCUAUGGGUUGUAAACUUCUUUUAUAUGGGAAUAAAAUGUUCCACGUGUGGGAUUUUGUAUGUACCAUAUGAAUAAGGAUCGGCUAACUCCGUGCCAGCAGCCGCGGCAAUACGGAGGAUCCGAGCGUUAUCCGGAUUUAUUGGGUUUAAAGGGAGCGUAGGUGGAUUGUUAAGUCAGUUGUGAAAGUUUGCGGCUCAACCGUAAAAUUGCAGUUGAAACUGGCAGUCUUGAGUACAGUAGAGGUGGGCGGAAUUCGUGGUGUAGCGGUGAAAUGCUUAGAUAUCACGAAGAACUCCGAUUGCGAAGGCAGUUCACUGGACUGCAACUGACACUGAGGCUCGAAAGUGUGGGUAUCAAACAGGAUUAGAUACCCUAGUAGUC